rnacentral:rRNA from 1 species
GACGAACGCUGGCGGCGUGCUUAACACAUGCAAGUCGAACGGAAAGGCCCCUUUGGGGGUACUCGAGUGGCGAACGGGUGAGUAAGACGUGGGUAACCUUCCCUUUACUCCGGUAUAACUUCGGGAAACUGGGGCUAAUACCGGAUAGGAAUCCUUCCUGCAUGGGGGGGGUUGGAAAGCUUCGGCGGUGUUGGGUGGACUGGCGGCUUAUCAGCUUGUUGGUGGGGUAGUGGCUUACCAAGGCAUUGACGGGUAGCCGGACAGAGAGAGCGACCGGCCACAUUGGGUCCGAGAUACGGCCCAGACUCCUAAGGGAGGAAGAAGGGGGGAAGACUGCACCAUGGGCAGCGGGCUGAUGAAGAAGCGCCGCGGGUGGGAUGACGGCUUUGGGGUUGUAAAACGGCUUCAGCAGGGGAGAAGCUUGUGGUGACGGUACCUGAAGAAGAAGCACCGGCUAACUACGUG